rnacentral:snRNA from 1 species
CUGUGAGUUGUAUAUGUUUUGUU